CUCUAGAACUCCACAUAGCAUCAUCAAAGCAUGGAGCAGACAUGGUUUCCAGAUUAUAGGAUGUUUUAAACUUUACAUCAAGGAACAAGAGAUGACUCAGUGAUCAAGAGUGCUCCAACUCUGACUCCAGGAGCUUCUGUGUCCUCUUCAGGCUUCUUCUACAGUUUCUGCUGUGUGAAUUUGCUGAAGUUGUAUGGUGGACAGUAACUGUAGGG
rnacentral:lncRNA from 1 species